rnacentral:misc_RNA from 1 species
AACACUGUUAACCUGCGGUACCUGCGGAGGGAUCAUUGCUGGAACGCGCUUCGGCGCACCCAGAAACCCUUUGUGAACUUAUACCUAUUUGUUGCCUCGGCGUAGGCCGGCCUCUUCAUUGAGGCCCCCUGGAAACAGGGAGCAGCCCGCCGGCGGCCAACUAAACUCUUGUUUCUGUAGUGAAUCUCUGAGUAAAAACAUAAAUGAAUCAAAACUUUCAACAAUGGAUCUCAGAUCGGA